GACGAACGCUGGCGGCGUGCCUAACACAUGCAAGUCGAACGAGACCUUCGGGUCUAGUGGCGCACGGGUGCGUAACGCGUGGGAACCUGCCCUUAGGUUCCGUAUAACUCCCCGAAAGGGAUGCUAAUAACGCUUAAGCUCUUCGGACCAAGGAUUUAUCGCCUUUGGGUGGGCGCGCGUUGGAUUAGCCAGUUGGUAGGGUAAAAGCAUACCAACGCGACGAUCCAUGGCUGGUCGGGGAGCAGGCUCAGCCACGCUGGCACUGAGACACGGCCCAGUCUCCGACGGGGGGCAGGAGUAGAGAAUAUUAGGGGAGGAGCGAAAACGUGGUCCAGCAGUGCCGGGGGAGUGAGGAUGCCCUUAGUGUUGCAAAGCUCUUUUACCCGAGAUGAUAGUGACAGUACCGGGAGAAUAAGCUCCGGCUAACUCCGUG
rnacentral:rRNA from 1 species